rnacentral:lncRNA from 1 species
UUCAAUCUUUUUUUAUUUUACACUAACUGGCUUUAGGCGUGAAAAUCGUCACCCAAAUCUCAAGUAAGCAAGGGAGCCGUGGGGUGGCUAGAGGAAAUCAUCUGGAGCUGAACUGAGGCCGAAUCACACCAUGCUGAGAGGGUAAACUUUUAUUCUGUUCUUUUAGUUGGCUGUUGAGCGACGAGGGAAUGGUGGUCAGUGUCGGGCUUGUCGUGCAAGCUCGGUCGGUCACCCACCCACUUGGGAAUCGAGGAGCCUUCCUCAGGUGUGGGAAAUUGACCCAUUAGUGAAAGCCAAGGGGCCUUCCUCGUGAAUGGGAACUCGAUUCACCCACACGGGAAUUCAGUUCACCACCCAAAAAGCCGAAGAGUCUUCCUCGGGUACAGAACCCGAUAUUUUCGAGCAUUCCAUCAGGUUGUCAUUGAAACCCAUAAUUAUGAUUAAAAUUAGCAUUUAUUUAGUGUUUAAGUUACACUAAUUAAUUUGUGUCGUGUGUGUACAGGAAAUUAGGACGUUCAAGCGGAUCUGGGAUGAUUAUUGCGCAAAGAAGUUGUAGGUAUUUUUGAUUCUGAAAUUAUAUUAGGAUUUUGGAAUUAUGCAU